rnacentral:rRNA from 1 species
GGCGAACGGGUGAGGAACACGUGAGAAACGUACCCCAGACUUUGGGAUAACACCGGGAAACCGGUGCUAAUACCGAAUAUUGAAACAUAAGUGGCAUCACUGAGUUUUGAAAGAAUUUCGGUGGAGGAUGACUUCGCGGCCUAUCAGCUAGUUGGUGAGGUAAAGGCUCACCAAGGCGACGACGGGUAGCCGGCCUGAGAGGGCGACCGGCCACACUGGGACUGAGACACGGCCCAGACUCC